GGAGGAUGACACAACUGUGUAGGCUGCUAAAUAGAAAAUACCUUUUGUGAAGUGGAAAUAUUUCAAUUUACAAUUCGUGCCCCAGUUCUCUAUAUACCGUGCGUGCCACUAGUUCAAGUUCAAGGGCAUAGGCCAAUAUUGUGCUUCAGGGAAUUCUGAACUCUGCCGAAGCGUUAAAUAUCUUUUAAGAUUUGCUUUCACCAGGCAUUCUUAGAUUUCCCAUUCAAACAAUUCACCGAAUUUUGCCAAGGCAACACACUCACUGCACCAGCACUGCGAUCAGCAAUGUCAGCCAUCUUCAACUUCCAGUCUCUUCUGACAGUGGUGUUACUGAUGAUCUGCACCUGCACAUUCAUCCAUGCCAUUUUUCCAAGCAUACUGGACCGAAACAAGACAGGUGUGGUGGGCACCUUCUGGAAGUUUGCGCGCAUCGGAGAGCGUCUCAGCCCGUAUGUCUGCGUGGCCUGCUGCAUGAUGGCCUUCUCAGUGCUGUUCCUGUCGUGACCUCGGUGCGCCGGUGGCUUAUUUAUAUACACUUACACCCUGGUGGCGAGGCCAGGCCUCGCGGCGCGGUAUCAGAAAAGAACUGAGAAGUGUCAGCCGACCGCGGUCGGUCGGCGGCCGGGACCAACUGUGAUGUAACCGACACCCGAGCGCCGUCAGACGGUAACGCUACCGUGCUGACUGGACGGGUCAGCGAGACCCAACGCGGACGACAAUGUGGGGGUUAUAUUCAUCGGUUAAAAUACUACAAAACAAUGAACACAAAUGAAUACAAAUGAUGGUAUGA